UUUUUUUUUUAAAAACACCACAAAAAAUAUUCAAUAAAAAAAUGUCACCGUUUUAUCCCCAAAUUUCCCCCUGAAACCCUUAAUUUUUCCCCCUAAAAUCGAUAUCCUUAAAACCCUUUAGUGUUUCUCUUCGCCGCUUCUGCUACUUUCCAAUUUUCCCAAUUGAAUAUGAAGUGGAAGUAUUCUUACAAAGCAUGGAUAGUCACUAUUUCUGAUCAAGGAACUGCCACUGUUGAGGUUCUAGGCAUGGUGGUGUGGCUUAAAGCGACUGUUAUAAACGAAGAAGGAACUCUCAAGCUAUUUUUAUCAGACUAUGAAUGUCAUGUGAAAGAUAUCUCCAUAAGUGUAGAUGGUGGAGCUUCUUGGCUUUAUCAAGGGUAUGCUAUCGUUGCCUAUUCGGACAACUAUGCCAAUCCAACUCUUCAUUUUUAUUGAAGCAUCCACGUCCCACAAAUGUUCAGACAUCAUUGAUGCUUUUCGAGGGAAAAUCAUGUCUGAAGUUGAAGAUGCGAUUAUCAAGAAGAUCAAAGAAGGAAUAAUAAAGCUUGACUCAUUGUUGCAGUCGCUUCCAAAACAACUACAAGUUAAUAGUGUUGUUGCAUUGAAUGUGACUAUCAUAGAUGAAAUUAAUGGUUUAUUCAACGGAGCAGAUGAAAUUUCAGUUUCAAACUAUUACAGUAAAAGAGCACGGAAUUUCCUUUCCUGCAAUGGUUUCUGCUUGGAUUGUGCUAUUUCUUUUGUCUCUUGGCAUUUGUUAUGUUUAACAGUUUCUUAUGAUGUUCUGUAGGUUUUAUUUGCCCUUAACUGUACAGAUUUGUAUUGAUGACAGAACUAGCAGGCAUGGUUAUUGUUCCUUUACACUGGUUUGUCUAUGCGAGAGAACAUAUUGCGAGCAAAUGGAAGUGAUAUUCGUCCAUGAAUCAACUUAUAGUUAGAAUCAAUUUCUGAGCUUCAGAAAAAGGGCAAUGAGAUUGAAUGAGAGUGUUAUUUUAAGAGAGUACACUGGACAACGAUAUGAAAUUGAGACACCCAUGACGUCUUGGGUGAGUAAAAUACCAGAGUAUCCUCAUCCAGUGGCAUCUUCCAUAUCCAGCAGAGUGAUGGUAGAGCUUGGAAUGGUGACUGCUGUAAUUACUGCCGUAGCAGUUCUUGUUGUAGGGUUUCUAGUAGCUGCUGCAUUUGCUGUCACCAGUUUUAAAUUUAAAUGUAUUAAAUUACAUAUUAAAUUACAUAUUGAAUCAAUGUUUAUGUAUUAAAUUUAAAUUCAUUAAUUUUUAUAUUUAGUUUUAAAGUUAAAAUUUUAAUAGAAAA